AGAGUUUGAUCAUGGCUCAGGAUGAACGCUAGCGGCAGGCUUAAUACAUGCAAGUCGAGGGGCAGCAGGUUUGUAGCAAUACAGAUGCUGGCGACCGGCAAACGGGUGCGGAACACGUACACAACCUUCCUUUAAGUGGGGAAUAGCCCAGAGAAAUUUGGAUUAAUACCCCGUAACAUUAUGAUGUGGCAUCACAUUAUAAUUAUAGCUCCGGCGCUUAAUGAUAGGUGUGCGGCUGAUUAGGUAGUUGGCGGGGUAAUGGCCCACCAAGCCUGCGAUCAGUAACUGGUGUGAGAGCACGACCAGUCACACGGGCACUGAGACACGGGCCCGACUCCUACGGGAGGCAGCAGUAAGGAAUAUUGGGCAAUGGAGGCAACUCUGACCCAGCCAUGCCGCGUGGAGGAUGAAGGCCCUCUGGGUUGUAAACUUCUUUUAUAUGGGACGAAAAAGGGCCUUUCCAGGUCAACUGACGGUACCAUAUGAAUAAGCACCGGCUAACUCCGUGCCAGCAGCCGCGGUAAUACGGAGGGUGCAAGCGUUAUCCGGAUUCACUGGGUUUAAAGGGUGCGUAGGUGGGUUGGUAAGUCAGUGGUGAAAUCUCCGAGCUUAACUUGGAAACUGCCAUUGAUACUAUCAGUCUUGAAUAUUGUGGAGGUCAGCGGAAUAUGUCAUGUAGCGGUGAAAUGCUUAGAUAUGACAUAGAACACCAAUUGCGAAGGC
rnacentral:rRNA from 1 species